CGUAGCCGCUCCGGCGCCAUGUUCGCCUUUUGGCGCCACGGCAGCGACUCCGCCCCUUCCCGGGUGAGAAAACAACGCAAAGACGGUAGAUGCUUCCCUCAAGAUGAAACAUUCGUAAGCUCCAUGGCCAGCAUGGAGACCAAUGCAGGGCUUGAAGUCAGGACCCUGAGAUCGAGAGUCAGAGGCUUAACCAACAGAGCCACCCAAGAGCCCCAAAAUGUCUAACUGUAAAGGACAGGAUGGGAUAAGGAUGGAAGUGAGACUUUCUUCCCAGUAAGACUUUCAACCAUAGACCCAUUUAUAUGUUUUACAUAUUCAAAAAAUAGAAAAGAAAAAAGUAAACUCAAAAUUGAAAGCACACCCAAACACCUAUCUGUACAUUAAAUUGGAAAUAUAACAUCAUAGAGAAAACGGAUUACUGAACACAGUUCUCUGUAUACUUUCAGUGAAAUAUAUUCAGAGGACAAAAGCAUUGCAAAGAAAAUUUGAACGUUUAUGUAAGAAAGGUGAAGAAAUAAAAAUAGAGAAAC